rnacentral:rRNA from 1 species
CACUCCUGCGGGAGGCAGCAGUGGGGAAUAUUGGACAAUGGGCGCAAGCCUGAUCCAGCCAUGCCGCGUGAGUGAUGAAGGCCCUAGGGUUGUAAAGCUCUUUCACCGGUGAAGAUAAUGACGGUAACCGGAGAAGAAGCCCCGGCUAACUUCGUGCCAGCAGCCGCGGUAAUACGAAGGGGGCUAGCGUUGUUCGGAUUUACUGGGCGUAAAGCGCACGUAGGCGGACUAUUAAGUCAGGGGUGAAAUCCCGGGGCUCAACCCCGGAACUGCCUUUGAUACUGGUAGUCUUGAGUUCGAGAGAGGUGAGUGGAAUUCCGAGUGUAGAGGUGAAAUUCGUAGAUAUUCGGAGGAACACCAGUGGCGAAGGCGGCUCACUGGCUCGAUACUGACGCUGAGGUGCGAAAGCGUGGGGAGCAAACAGGAUUAGAUACCCUAGUAGUCC